rnacentral:misc_RNA from 1 species
CUGUUGAGACUGAUUAAAAUCGUGUGUGAAGAACGCAUGAGCUAGUAACUAAGACGUGAAGCUGAGCGUAAGCUACGAAGCUGCCGAGUGAAAGGAAACCCCUCAGUACAUGCACUAAGAGGACGCAGGGUGUUGACGAGUUGGAGGCUUAGCAAGCCUCUCAUGAAUCCUGUCUCCGUGGAUAUGAAGCUGUGACGGACACGGAACAUUGUCCAUGAGCUCUCCUAAGGUAUGGGUAGCUCCCUAGGGUGCAAUUCCCUGCAUGGGUAAUAACUCCUGAAUGCUUUGGAAGGAUGGACUGUCGUUUGAACAGUCAUGUCUCCUCCAUCUGCUGUUGGCUUGGUAUCAGCACACCAGGAAUCACGGUUAAGAGAACAGCUGACCCACGAUCCGAACCUGAUCCAGCUUGUUCCGCCUGAGCAUAAGCGUCUGCAAAGACCGCCACCGAGCAAAGUGUUUGUGCCCAACCUGCCAGACCGCCAGAGCAAAGAGCCAUUCCGAGCCGCAAUGGGCCAGAACUAGAGCCGCCGACCGACAAAUCCCGACAGCAGAACACUAAGACAACGCUGAAAAGCCGCCUGGAGCUGCACGAUGGUGAAAUUCCACCAGCCACCAGAGCAGGAGACGUUGAAACGACUGAAACACGUUGAGUUAUGCCAGCAAGUGAAACUGUGAAACGACAAGUUAUGCCUGCACUUGAUUCUGUGAAACGAUGACGUUAUCGCUGAGGUGAAACUGUGAACUUCGAGAGCAGAAGGCCAGCACCUUGAGAACAUGUGCCAGAGCGAAAGAGCCAAAGCCAUGAUGAUAAGCCAGUGAGUGCCAAUGAGCCCAUAAGAACUAAGUGUUUCUUGCCAAAGAGAGCCAGAGCCAUUGAGCCAGAGCCUAGAAGAGCAACAAGAAGAUGUGAUGAGAGCCACUGCGCCAGAUGAUCAUCCAAGAGCCAGUAAGAGCCAUUCGAGCAGUCGGAGAUCCAACGAUCAGAUUCGCAUUCAGAAAGGAUGUAGGCAGUCGAACCUCGACAUGAGGAUGUAGACGAGACCGAACCUUUUAGUCUAUAGAAAAGAGGAUGUAAGCAAUGAGCUGAACCUCUGGGGUUAAUACAUUAUGGACCAUGAAGUCCCACCCAAAUCAUC